rnacentral:lncRNA from 1 species
AUCAAGAACUUCUUUGAAUGCUCUUACAUUGUCCCCAUCAGCCUCCAUCAAAAUGAGUGAAUCAUCGGCACAAAGGAGAUGGGACACCGUAGGCGCCUCGCGGCAUACCUUUAUACCAGUAAAUUCACUAGUUUGUUUGAGUAUGCGACAAUAAAUUUAAACCUUCUACACAUAUCAAAAAAGGAUAGCGUGAAAGGGGAUCACUUAUGUCUGCUAGAACUACGUCGGUAUUUCCCCAAAGAGGAAGGGACGAUGCAGUAUAGCGAGGGUAGGUAUUUCCCUCAGUGAUGAGAUGAAGGUUAUUGAACCAGUAGGAGAACCUCCUCACACCACGUAAAUGGCACCUGCACACACAUAACAAAUACUCACAACCCGACGUGUUAAAGGGGUUGUAAAUCCCUUUCGGGUACGGUGCCUCAAGAUAGGCAAAUAACAUGAGGUAAAAGUGGUAGAUAAGAUAAAUAGAUCGCAAAACAAAUAAAUUGCAGCAAUGUAUUUUUGUAUUUUUGGUCUAAUAGAUCUGAAAAUAAAAAGCAAAGGAAAAUAGAUCGCAAAGGCAAAUAUGAUGAAAAGAGAUACGGGGGCCGUAGGCUUCACUAGUGGCUUCUCUCGAGAAAAAUAGCAAACAGUGGGAAAACAAUUACUGUUGGGCAAUUGAUAGAACUUCAAAUAAUCAUCGCGAUAUACAGGCAAUGAUCAUUAUAUAGGCAUUGAUACGUCUCAAACGUAUCUAUAAUUUUUGAUGGUUUCACGAUGUUAUCUUGUCAACUUUGGAUGUUUUGUUUACCUUUUAUAUCUUUUUUGGGACUAACUUAUUAACUCAGUGCCAAGUGCCAGUUCCUGUUUUUUCUAUGUUUUUGACUCUUUUCAUAUCUGAUUUUGGAAUGGAGUCCAAACGGAAUAAAAUCCCCGAAAUAAAUUUUUCCAGAACGGAAGAAGAUCGGGAGGCUUGAGGGCCAAGCAAGUGGGCCCACAGGGGGCCCACAAGCCGUGUUGCCGUGGCCAGGGGGGAGGUCGCGGCAACCAAGCUUGUGGCCCCCCUGGCGCUCCCCUGCCCUAGGUCUUUGGCCUAUAAAUUCCCUAAAAAUCCAGAAAAAAUCAAGGCAUCCACGAAAACACUUAUCCGCCGCCGCAAGCUUCUGUUUCCGCGAGAUCUCAUCUGGAGACCCUUCCCGGUGCCUUGCCGGAGGGGACUUUGGAGUUGGAGGGCUUCUUCAUCAACAUCAUCGCCCCUCCAAUGACUCGUGAGUAGUUCACUUCAGACCUACGAGUCCGUAGUUAGUAGCUAGAUGGCUUCUUCUCUCUCUUGGAUCUUCAAUACAAAGUUCUCCAUGAUCUUCAUGGAGAUCUAUCCGAUGUAAUCCUCUUUGGCGGUGUGUUUGUCGAGAUCUGAUGAAUUGUGGAUUUGUGAUCAGAUUAUCUAUGAUAUAUAUUUGAGUCUUUGCUGAUUUAUUAUAUGCAUGAUUUGAUAUCCUUAUAAGUCUCUCCGAGUCUUGGGUUUUGUUUGGCCAACUAGAUCUCUGAUUCUUGCAAUGGGAGAAGUGCUUGGUUUUGGGUUCAUACCGUGUGGUGACCUUUCCCAAUGAGAGAAGGGGCAGCAAGGCACGCAUCGUGUUGUUGCCAUCAAGGGUAACAAGAUGGGCUUUUAUUGUAGAUAUGAGAUUGUCCAUCUACAUCAUGUGAUCUUGCUUAAGGCGUUACUCUGUUCUUUUGGACUUAAUACACUAGAUGCAUGCUGGAUAGCGGUCGACGUGUGGAGUAAUAGUGGUAGAUGCAGAAAGUAUCGAUCUACUUGUUUUGGACGUGAUGACUAUAGAUAUAAUCAUUGCCAUAGAUAACGUCACGACUUUGCGCGGUUCUAUCAAUUGCUCGACAGUAAUUCGUUCACCCACCGUCUACUUGCUUUCAUGAGAGAAGCCACUAGUGAACACUACGUCCCCCGGGUCUAUUCACACCUAUCGUUUCCACCUUCGCUUUUACUUUGCUUUGUUACUUUGUUGCUUUCAGUUCUCACUUGGCAAACAAUCUAUAAGGGAUUGACAACCCCUUUAUAGCGUUGGGUGCAAGCUCUUUGUGUUUGUGCAGGUACUUGUGAUAUUCCUUCACUGGAUCGAUACAUUGGUUCUCAAAACUGAGGGAAAUACUUACCGCCGCUGUGCUACAUCACCCUUUCUGCUUCGAGGGAACACCAACGCAAGGCUCCAAGGCCACGGGGGAAUCCUUUGCAUAUUUGCCAAGGAAGUCCCUAAAAGCGUAGCCGUAGCAGAAGGAUUCCUGGUGCCUUUGCUGAGGAGUAUCAAGACAAGAAUAGUCUCCCGUCAGCACGCUUGUUUCUGGCGCCGUUGGAAGGUCUUUUGUUGCAGUAGCAGGCAUCACGUCCAAGAUUAGUAGACUGACUCCUGCCUGCACCUACUACUAUUACUCCACACAUCAACUGCUAUCCAACAUGCAUCUAGUGUAUUAAGUUCAUGAAAAACGGAGUAAUGCAAUAAGAACGAUGACAUGAUGUAGACAAGAUCUAUUUAUGUAGAAAUAGACCCCAUCUUGUUAUCCUUAAUAGCAAUGAUACAUAUGUGGCGUUUCCCUUUCUUUCACUCAGAUCAAGCACCGUAAGAUCGAACCCAUCACAAAGCACCUCUUCCCAUUGCAAGAUAAAUAGAUCAAGUUGGCCAAACAAAACCCAAAUAUCGGAGAAGAAAUACGAGGCUAUAAUCAAUCACGCAUAUAAGAGAUCAAAGAAGACUCAAAUAACUUUCAUGGAUAAAAACAUAGAUUUGAUCAUAAACUCAAAGUUCAUCGGAUCCCAACAAACACACCGCAAAAGACUUACAUCAUAUGGAUCUCCAAGAGACCAUUGUAUUGAUAAUCAUGAGAGAUAGGAAGCCAUCUAGCUACUAACUACGGACCCGUAUGUCUACAAAGAACUACUCACGCAUCAUCGGAGAGGCACCAAUGGACAUGAUAAACCCCUCCGUGAUGGUGUCUAGAUUGGAUCUGGUGUUUCUGGACUCUGCGGUGGAUGGAAUUGAUUUUCGUCCCGCUCUAGGGUUUCUGGAAUAUUGGGGUAUUUAUAGAGCAAAGAGGUAGUGCGGGAGGCCAACGAGGAGAGCACAACCCACCGGGGUGCACCUGGGGGCGAGGUGCGCCCUGGUGGGUUGUGCUCCCAUCGGAGCUCCCCUCACAUGCGUUCGUGGCCCACUGGAUGUCUUCUGGGCCAAAAAAUCCACAAAAAGUUUCAACGCGUUUGGACUCCCUUUGGUAUUGAUUUCCUGCGAUGUAAAAAACAUGCAGAAAACAACAAUUGGCACUGGGUACUAUGUCAAUAGGUUAGUACCAAAAAAUGAUAUAAAAUGACUAUAAAAUGAUUGUAAAACAUCCAAGAAUGAUAAUAUAACAACAUGGAACAACCAAAAUUAUAGAUACGUUGGAGACGUAUCAGCAUCCCCAAGCUUAAUUCCUGCUCGUCCUCGGGUAGGUAAAUGAUAAAAACAGAAUUUGUGAUGUGGAAUGCUGCCUAACAUGUUCAUCACAUUUCUUUUCUUUAUAGCAUGGACAUUUGUACUUUUAUAUGGUUCAAAGCAAUAGUCUAGUUUUGACAUGAAGAGUUUAAUACUCAAGCAUAGCAACAAGCAACCAUGUCUUUCAAAAUAUCAACACUAAAGCAAGUUAUCCCUAGCCCAUUAUGAUCAGUCAUUAAUCCAUUCAUGAAACACAUUCUAUUAUUAGCUACACCCAAUGCUCAAAUACGAUCAUAGUGCCCCUUAUUUGGUGCUUUAUGAGAGAAGAUGGAGACUCAAAUUCAAAAUAAAAAUUGCAUAAGUAAAAGAAAGGCCCUUCGAAGAGGGAAAUAAGGAUUUGUAGAGGUGCCAGAGCUCAAAGCGAAAAUUGAGAGAUAAAAACAUUUUGGGAGGCAUACUUUUCCCACCAAUGAAAAUUACUUAGAGCUCCCAACACUUUCCAUGCUAGAUACAUCAUAGGUGGUUCCCAAACAGAAAAUAAAGUUUAUUCAUUUUCCCACCAUUACUUUCACUUUCCAUUGCUUGUCCGUAUCCACGAGGGCCCUCCAUACCAACACUUUCCAAGGAAUUUAUUAUUUGACAACAAAAAGUAAAUUCAUUUUUUUGGGACUAGGCAUCCCUAAUACCUUUGUCGUACUCUCGUGCAAUGACAAGUGAAUAAACACUCAUCGUGAGAAUAACACAUCUAGGAUGGAAAAUAUUGGCCACCCCUCACCGCCUCGCGAGCGGUAGAACACAAAAAAGAGAAAUUUAUUUUGAAAAUUAGAGAUGGCACAUGCAAAUUUGCUUAGAACGGCAUGGAAAUAUUGCAUAUAGGUAGGUAUAGUGGACUCAUAUGGCAAAACUGGUUUAAAGGGUUUUGGAUGCACAAGUAGUGAUCAUACUUAGUGCAAAAUGAAGGCUAGCAAAAAGAUUGAGAAGCGACCAACCAAGAAACGAAAAAUCUCGUACCCAAGCAUUAAGCAUGAGUAACACCGAAUAAUGCACCACAAGUAGGACAUAAAUUUCAUUGCAUAACUAUUGACUUUCGUGCUUGUAUAUAGAAUCACAAACCUUAACAUCAAUAUUCUUACUAAAGCACAAUUACUCAUCAAAUGACUCACAUAUCAUUGCGUCAUAUCUCAAAACUAUUACUAAGGAUCAAGUUUAUUUUGUCCAAUGAUCUUCAUGAAAGUUUUUAUUAUAUCCUCCUUGGAUAUCUAUCACUUUGGGACUAUUUUCAUAUGUUGCUUCUGAUAAGCUCAAACAAAUUUAAGUGGAGAACAUGAGCAUAAUUUUUCUUUCUCUCAAAAUAAUCUAAGUGAAGCAAGAGAGAAUUCCUUAAAAAAUUACUAACUCCCAAAUAAAUCUAAAUGAAGCAUGAGAGAAUUUCUUCAAAAAUAACAAAGCACACCGUGCUCAAAAAGAUAAAAGUGAAGUACUAGAGCAAAUCCAUGGCUCUAAAAAAUUAAGUGAAGCAUAGGAGCAAGCAUAGUAUAAUUUUUUGCUCUCUCAAAAAGGUGUGUAAAGAAAGGAUUCAAGACUUAAAACGCAAAGCAAAACAAGCAAAGACUCAUAUCAUACAAUACGCUACAAGCAAAACUCAUAAUAUGUAUAGUUUCAAGUAAAAUACUGAUGGUUGUUAGAAGAAAGAGGGGAUGCCACUCGGGGACAUACCCAAGAUUAGUUGCUUGCUACUUCUUGAGUAUUAUCUUGGGGUGCCUCAGGCAUCCCCAAGCUUAGCCUUUUUCUAAUCUUUAUUCCUUCAUUCAUUUUAAGAUCACCCAAAACUUGAAAACUUCAAUCACAUAAAACUCAACAAAACCUUCGUGAGAUCCGUUAGUAUAAGAAAGCAAACCACUACUAUGAGUAUUGUUGCAAACCAAUUCAUUUUUUUUGCAUUAUAUCUACUGUAUUCCAACUUUUCUAUGGCAAAAACUCAUCAAAGAAAACAAUAGAAUCAUCAAAACAAGCACACAACGCAAGGAAAACAGAAUCUUUCAAAAACAGAACAGUCUGUAGCAAUCUGACUACUUCGAAUACUUGUGUAACUCCAAAAAUUCUGAAAAAUUAGGACGACGUGAAUAAUUUGUUUAUUAAUCUUCUUAAAAAAUAUUAAACUCAAAAGCACUCUUCUGUUAAAAUGAAAAAUAAUUUCGUGAGCGCAAAAGUUUCUGUUUUUUCAGCAAGAUCAAAUCAACUUUCACCCAAAUCAUCCCAAAGGCCUUGCUUGGCACAAACACUAAUUUAAAGCACAAAAACAUAUAUAAUCAGAGGUAUAAUUGUAUAUUUUAUUGAAAACAGCAAGAAAACCAAAAGCAAAAAGAUACAAGUUGGGUUGCCUCCCAACAAGCGUUAUCGUUUUACGCCGCUAGCUAGGCAUAACGCGUAGGAUCUAAGUGUUGUCAUCUUUGUUUCUAGAUCCAUAUGAUGCCCUCAUGAUUGAUUCAUAUGGUGGCCUAAUUAUUUUUCUAGGGAAGUGUUCCAUUACCUUCCUUAGUGGAAAUUGAAAUUUAAUAUUGUCUUCUUGCAUAUCAAUCACGACACCAAUAGUACUUAAAAACGAUCUAUCAAGUAUAAUUGGACAAGACGGAUUGCAAUCAAUAUCAAAAACAAUAAAUUCUAUGGGCACAUAAUUCCUAUUUGCAAGAAUAAGAACAUCAUUAAUUCUUCCCAUAGGGUUUUUAAUAGUAGAAUCCACCAAGUGCAAAUUUAAAGAGCAUUCUUCAAUAUUGGUAAGACCAAGCACAUCACAUAAAGAUUUCGGAAUUGUAAAAACACUAGCACCCAAGUCACAUAAAGCAAAACACUCAUAAUUUUUAAUCUUGACUUUGAUAGUAGGUUCCCACUUAUCAUGCAAUUUUCUAGGAAUUGAAACAUAUAAUUCCAUUUUUUCUUCAAAAGCUUUCAUCAUAGCAUCAACAAUAUGUUUAGUAAAAGCUUUAUUUUGUUCAUAAGCAUAGGGUGAAUUUAUCAUGGAUUGCAACAAAGAAAUACAAUCAACCAAACAACAACUAUCAUAAUUAAAGUCUUUGUAAUCCAAAAUGGUGGGCACAUCACUAGUUAAAGUCUUGACCUCUUCAACCCCACUUUUAUCAAUUUUCUCGACAAGAUUUUCACCCUCCGAAUCAUAGGGACGCCUACUAACUAAAGUUGACUCUUCUCCAGUCCCUUUUUCAUGAAUCUUAAUUUUACUAAACAAAGAAUCAAUAGAAGAAACACCGAUCAUUUUAAGAUCUUCAUUUUUAUUUUCUAACGAGAUUGGUUUGGCGGCCAUUUGAUUCACUAAAGUAGCUUGUGCAUCAGAUAUUUUUUCCAACAAACUUUCAGCAAUAGCAUACUUAGAUUGGAGAUUGCAAACUUCUCUACUAAUAUCAUCAAGUUGUUUCGUUAUAGCCUCUAACACAACGGAGUGUUCCUUAAGUUCUUCAGUAAAAUACUUAUUAUGCUCAAAUUGUGUAGUCAUAUAUUCCUUAGUGCUUUUCUCAAUUUCAAGCAAAAAAUUUGGGUAGGGAACAUCAUAAUAUUUUCUUUGAGGCAUCAUGACUACGCAAACAAGAUUGCACACAAAAACAGAUCUGACGAGAAAAUGGCGAACAAAAAAAGAGCGAAUGAAACGGAAAAAUUUAUGAACUGGGGAGAGGAAAAUGAGAGGCAGAUGGCAAAUAAUGUAAAUUCUGAGGAUAUGAGAUUUGUGAUUAGGAACCUGAUUGAUGUUGAAGAUCCUCCCCGGCAACGGCGCCAGAAAUUCCUUUCGAUGUCUCCUAGAACUACAUCGGUAUUUCCCCAAAGAGGAAGGGAUGAUGCAGUAUAGUGACGGUAGGUAUUUCCCUUAGUGAUGAGACCAAGGUUAUCGAACCAGUAGGAGAACCUCCUCACACCACAUAAACAACACAUGCACACAAAUAAUAAAUACUCGCAACCCCACGUGUUAAAGGGGUUGUCAAUCCCUUUCGGGUACGGUGCCUCAAGAUAGGCAAAUAACGUGAGGUAGAAGUGGUAGAUAGGAUAAAUAGAUCGCGAAACAAAUAAACUGCAGCAAGGUAUUUUUGUAUUUUUGGUUUAAUAGAUCUGAAAAUAAAAAGCAAAGGAAAAUAGAUCACAAAGGCAAAUAUGAUGAAAAGAGACCCGCGGGCCGUAGGUUUCACUAGUGGCUUCUCUCGAGAAAAAUAGCAAACGGUGGGAACACAAUUACUGUUGGGCAAUUGAUAGAACUUCAAAUAAUCAUGACGAUAUCCAGACAAUGAUCAUUAUAUAGGCAUCACGUCCGAGAUUAGUAGACCGACUCCUGCGUGCAUGUACUACUAUUACUCCACACAUCGACCGCUAUCCAGCAUGCAUCUAGUGUAUUAAGUUAAUGGAAAAAUGGAGUAAUGCAAUAAGAACGAUGACAUGAUGUAGACAAGAUCUAUUUAUGUGGAAAUAGACCCCAUCUUGUUAUCCUUAAUAGCAACGAUACAUACGUGUCGUUUCCCUUUCUUUCACUAGGAUCAAGCACCGUAAGAUCGAACCCAUCACAAAGCACCUCUUCCCAUUGCAAGAUAAAUAGGUCAAGUUGGCCAAACAAAACCCAAAUAUCGGAGAAGAAAUACGAGGCUAUAAUCAAUCCAACAUAUAAGAUAUCAAAGAAGACUCAAAUAACUUUCAUGGAUAAAAACAUAGAUCUGAUCGUAAACUCAAAGUUCAUCGGAUCCCAACAAACACAUGCAAAAAGACUUACAUCAUAUGAAUCUUCAAGAGACCAUUGUAUUGAUAAUCAAGAGAGAGAGACGAAGCCAUCUAGCUACUAACUACGGACCCGUAGGUCUACAAAGAACUACUCACGCAUCAUCGGAGAGGCACCAAUGGACAUGAUGAACCCCUCCGUGAUGGUGUCUAGAUUGGAUCUGGUGUUUCUGGACUCUACGACGGCUGGAAUUGAUUUUCCUCCCCCUCUAGUGUUUCUGGAAUAUUGGGGUAUUUAUAGAGCAAGGAGGUGGUGCGGGAGGCCAACGAGGAGGGCACAACCCACCGGGGCGCGCUUGCGGCCCCGGCGCCUGGGCCCCCACGCGCGCACUCGUGGGUUGUGCUCCCAUCAGUGCUCCCAUCAGAGCUCCCCUCAGAUGCAUUCCUGGCCCACUGGAUGUCUUCUGGGCCAAAAAAUCCACAAAAAAUUUCGUUGGAUUUGGACUCUGUUUGGUAUUGAUUUCCUGCGAUGUAAAAAACAUGCAGAAAACAACAACUGACACUGGGCACUAUGGCAAUCGGUUAGUACCAAAAAAUGAUAUAAAAUGACUAUAAAAUGAUUGUAAAACAUCCAAGAAUGAUAAUAUAACAGCAUGGAACAAUCAAAAAUUAUAGAUACGUUGGAGACGUAAUAAUCACCUUGGUGAAUCCCCCUUGUGGGAAUAAACAUAUCCGUCUCAUUUGCAUUAAAAUGGAUUCGGUACCGAACCGAUGAAACACAAGCCAUAAUAAGCUUCUCCCAUCUUGGAUCAAAACCCAAUCUCGUCAUCAUCUUUUUCAAAAACACCAUUCGAAUUUGUCAUAAGCCUUAUGCAUGUCUAGCUUCACAGCACAGAGAUCCUUUCUUCUCUCCUUCUUCUUUAUUGUAUGUAUACACUCAUAAGCAAUGAGUAUAUUAUCCGUGAUUAGGCGUCCUGGAGCGAACACACUUUGAUGUUGGCUGAUAAUCUCCGGCAAAAUAAGCUUCAAUCUAUUCGCCAACAUUUUUGAGAUGACUUUGUAAACAACACUACACAAACUGAUAGGAUGAUAUUGUGAUAUCUUCUCAUCAUUAUCUACUUUUGGAAUCAGCACAACCACUGUAUCAUUCCAUCCACCGGGGAUAAUACCAGAAUUCACCGCUUGCAAAACCUCACGCGUCAAUUCACCCCCAAGCAUAGAUGAGUACCUUUUAUAAAAUACGGAGUGUAGUCCGUCAGGUCCAGGGGCUUUCAAAUCCCUAAUCUAAAACAAAGCCUUUUUUACCUCCUCUUCAGAAAAAAGUCGAAGUCAGGUUGUGAUUCAUUUCAUCCGUGACUCUUCUAGGAACUCUGUUUAGCACAACUUCAUCUCGUUCAUUGAAUUCACAAGUAAAAAAGACCCUCGAAAUAGAAUCUUAUAAGGUUGCUCAUCCCUUGAGGAUCUUCCCAUUUUCUGCCCGAAUCAUCAAAAAUAUAUUUAAUUAUGUUCUUCUUUAUUUUUGCACUCGCAAAAUUAUGGAAAAAACUUGUGUUCCUAUCUCCGUGUCGCGACCACUUUGCACGACCACGUUGGACCCAUUGAGUCUCCUCCUGUUCUAAUAGUAAUUCAAUUUUCAGCAAAAUCUCUUUUUGAUCUGCUAUUGAGUCAUCCGACAUUGCCCCUAUCCUUAACUCCUUCAAUUAUUUUUUCAGCUGGUCAAUUCAGCGUCUAGGGCCCUUCAACUUCCGACGGUGCCAAGCAUGUAAUUCUGCAUGUGCUUUUACACUUUUCUGCAUAAUCCCUCGUCCUAUUGUUCAAGCUUUUGCCCAUGCAUUUUGGACAAUCAGGUCCACAGUUCCCUCUUGUAACUAUCUUGCUUCAAAACGUUUCACAGUCGGGUUUAAGACAUGAGUAUUUGCGAGAAACUCGAUAUCAACUGUAACCGGCAUGUGAUCACUUUUUGUCAUCUCAUCAUUAGUAACUUUACUCUCAGGAAACAAAUUGUUCCAAGCUUCGUUGGCCACCACUCGGUCCAAUCUCUCCCUCAAUUUCCCCUUCUCCAUGUAAAGAUGACUCCCGUACAGCCUAGAUCUUCGAGACUACAAUCCAAGAGACAAUCGUGGUAGGCUUUCGUACGGCUGAGCGCUCGAGGUGCCCCUCCUUCUUUCUCCCAUGAAUAGAGGAUUUCAUUGAAGUCCCCUAACAUAAACCAUGGCAUAUAAAAAUUCGAGUGAAGAUCUCAAAUAUAUGCCCAUGAUUUGUACUUAUUUUCCCAGCUUGGUUCACCAUAAAACCCUGCCAUUCACCAACUCUGAUCUCCAUCCACUGUUACAUCAAUAAAAUUCCUCUCCACUCUUUUAGGUGCAAUCUUUACUUCCUUUUCCCACAAAAGUACCAGCCCUCCACUAUUUCCGUUGCUCUCAUGGAACAACAACUUGUCAAACUUCAGUUUACACAUCAGUUUCUCUACCUUAGCUUUAUUCAAAUGUGAUCCAGACAGAAAAAUCACAUUCGGCUUUAUUUGCCUCUGCAUCUCUAGAAGCGCAAGAAUUGCCCGGGAUGUAUUCAUCCCUUGACAGUUCCAACCUCAGAUUAUCAUUGCUCCCAUGCUUGCUCCUUCACACCAAUCGAACACAGUCAAAAACAAAUCGCCUAAAAUAACUCAACAACACCUACCCUAAGUGGCGGAACCAGGAACAAAAUGAAGGGUGUGCACACUCUAAUUUUUUCUACCUAAUCCAAGUGUAACAAAAUAUGGCAAAAUAAUAACAUAAAGUAGCUCAAUUAAAAUCUCGCAACCAUUUAGUUCACAAAAUAUAUCCCAAAUGUGCUCAGUUACAAUACAAAAGGCUUACAUGAAAGAAGCAGAAGUAAAAAAUUACAACUCUAGGUAACUCUACAUCGUUGCAUUGCCAUGAAAGCAUCAACUAUUUCAUCUUCACUUACUUUCAUGAACACAUCUUGCUCAAUGAAUGUCACCAAGCAAUUAUUCAAACGAUCAUCACCCAUACUAGUCAUCAAUGAAAAUACCCUUUCAACACUCGUCGUUGCCACCGGUAAAAUCAAUAUCAAUUUGAUGAGUAAGUAGACCAAAUCAUAAAGAACAUGCUUCUUUGUUGCAACAAGCAAAAUAGAGAGCUCACCAAUAUUACUUGCAUUUCUAAACCUAUCAUCUUGUCUCAUAUCAUCAAUAGAAUUAGCAAGUUGAAAUUCUAGGAUAGAAUUCAGCAAGUUUCAUUACCUUGAAUGCAUCAUAAUAAGCAAAUGAAUUGAGGGGAUGCAAAGCCGACAUGCAAAUAAGAAACUCCGUAUUAACCUCAUCAAACCGGUUGUUAAGCUCUUGAAUGGUUUGGUCAAUGGCACCAAGAUAUACUUCUCUUCUAUAAAGAUCAUCAUUUGUUUGUACUUCAUAAUACUGACGUGAUCUUCCAUGAUGCUCAUAAGUAUCCUCCCAUAAAGGAACUUGAAUGUCAUGUUUGUUGCAAAAUAAGGUUAGCUUUGCAAGAAAUUCUUCCCAACCAUGAGACCUCAUGUGUUGCAUUCUACUCUUUGCCAAACUAACAAGUGCCAUUGCAUUAACAAUAUCUUGAUCUCUCUUUUGCAAAUAUUUGGACAACUCAUUUGUAUAGCCAGGAAUAACAAGCAUCAAGUGAAGAUUGAAAACAAAGUCAAAUGAUUCAAUGGCUUGAGUAACUCCACGUAUUCUUGUCCACUCACCUUUUUGUGAAGGAUCUUUUCCAAUAGCGUCAAGUACCUCAAGAAUUGUGGAAUACAUGCUAACAAUAUACAUAAUGGUUUUAAAAUGAGAACCCCAACGAGUAUCGCCGGGUCUAGAUAGUCCCAUCCCUUGAUUUAGCCCACUUCCACUUUCAAUCUCACCCAUUUCAAGAUCUUCCGAAACCUUUUGAGCUCUAACAUAUCGAAGCAUGUCAUGUCGCCUACAAGAAACUCCAUCAAUAUUGAGCAAGUAAGAAACAUGAUCAAAGAACCACAAACAUGGUUCAUUAUCCUUUGCCACGGCUAUAAGAACUAAUUGAAGUUGAUGUGCAAAACAAUGGAUGUAAUAGGCCGAGGGUCACUCUUUCAUGACCAAAGGUUUCAACCCUUUAAUCUCCCCUUUCAUGUUGCUACGCCCAUCAUAUCCUUGCCCACGUAUUUUACUAGGUGUCAAAUGAUGAUCUUUAAGCAAAGUUUGAAUUGCUUCCUUAAGUGACAAUGAAGUUGUAUUGGGAGCAUGAACAACUCCAAGGAACCUCUCACACUCUCUUCCCGAUUUAUCAACAUAACGUAUGCAGAGAGCAAGUUGUUCUUUGUGAGAUGCAUCACUGGACUCAUCAGCUAGGAUUGCAUAGUGGUCAUCACCAAUAUCUUCAAUAAUUAUUUUAGUUGUUUGCGCCACACAACAUUCAAUUAUUUGAUUUGUAUCUUUGGACUAGUCAAUAUGCAAUUCCCACGAGCAUUGUUCAGAACAACCUUAUUAACUUCUUCAUCAUUUACAGAAAGCCAUUUAAGAAGUUCAAGAAAGUUCCCCCUCUUGCUAGAGUCUUCACUUUCAUCAUGUCCACGAAAUGCCAAUCCUUGGUUCAAAAGAAACCUCAAGCAUCUAAGUGAAUAAGUUAGCCUAGCCUUGUACAUACGUAGAUCCUCUUUAGACACCCUCACAAUGAUAUCAGCAACUGAUGGUUGGGGUGCCACAAACAAAUUGUACUUCUCUUGAGCUUUGUUUUGAAUGCUAUUUAUACCACCCUCAUGUUUGUCUAAUGCAUCAGUCCUAUACCAAUUUUUCCAACCACCUUUAACAAAUGCAUCACCCCUAGGUCCCCCAUUCGAUUUUCCUUUAAACAAAUAACACACAAAGCAAAAUGUUGCCUCAUAUUUGACACUGUAUUCUAGCCAUUUAUAGUUCUCAAACCAAACAAAGUUGAAGUGUCAAUUUUUACCAUACAUUUUCUUGACUUCAAAGUUGUGUGCAUAUGGUUGCACUGCAUUCUUUGCAAUGUACCGCCUCCGAACGUCAUCUUGAUCACCAACAUCAUACUCUCAAAUAGGAAUCCUUUCUCGUGGAUCAGUUGGAAGCCUUUGAAUAUUAUAUGAUCUUGCAUUUGGAUGUUGAGGUGAUGGUUGUCGUGGCGCUUCAUCAUCAAUAUCAAUGUCAAUCUAUAGAUCGGAAUGGACUGGAUGUGAAUAAAUAUCAAUGUCAAUCUCUGAAUCUGAAUGGAGUGGUGGCAGUGGAGGUGGAUCAAUAUCAGGUUCAUGUUGCUCUUGGGCUCCAACCUUUCUUGUUUUUGCCUCAUAAUUAUGAAAAAAUGACUUAAUGUCACCAUUCCUCUUCAUCUUCAGAUGUACUACAAUUAAAACAUAAUGUCAGUACAAAGUUGUAACUGCAAAGUCUGCAAACGAGAUCCAAACUCAUCCACCAAGAGACUCACCCACGAGCCACGAAGCCACGACCAGCGGCUCUGACCUCGGCGAGCAGCGACGCAUCGUCGGAGCGGGAGGACCGGAGGCAGUGGCGGCGGCUCCGUGGCUGGGCAGGCAGCACCGGAACGACGGAAGAUCGGAGGGGCGGAGGGCAGAUGGCCGGGGCACCGGAGCCGGAGCGCGAUGGAGCAGGGGAGCCGGGGCCAGAUGGAUGACGGGAAGCCGGGGAGACGGGGAGGACCGGCGGUCGCGGCGACUGGCGGGGAGGCGCCGAGCAUCGGCGGGCCGACGGGCGAGCGCGAACCCUAGCGCUAGCGGGGAGCAGGGCGAGGCAUCGUCCUCUGCUCCGCUCGCUGCCUCUCUCCCUGUCUCUCUCGCGGGAUGGGGAAAGGAUGUGGUGGGCCACUGGGGCUCAGGCAAAAAAAGUUUUAUAUGUAUAUUAAAAAAAUCCCGGGGGUCUGGGUGUGCCACGUCACACCCGACACACCCGAUGGGUCCGCCGAUCCCUACCCUUUGUAUCGGGAAAGCAUCAACCAAUCUACUUCCAUAGAAAUCCCAACAUGCAACCAACUAGCAAAUCACUUUUGUGUGAGAUCUCAACAUGCACGCAUCACAAUACCAUCAAGUUAAGAAUCCACGCACUAGAACAAGGAACAACCAAAUCGACUAGAGCAAAAGACGACAACUUGCCGGAACUUCAUGCCACAGGGGAGUCGGAUAAAGAACAUAAUGUCCUCACAAAUCAAGAUGACUGGAUCGAUGACGACACACCUGCCGCGAAGCGGAGGGGUCGGAAUAAACAGCGACGACGACGCGCUGUUAGACCUAAAUCGUCUGUUUGUCGCGAGAGCUUAUGUGCACGGGUCACGUCGAGGCGAUUAGGCAAGGGGACUCUCUUUUGUUUUACAAUCUAAAGGGGCUGAAGUAGGGGGAAAUUCAAUUUGGCUCCCGAGAGCACUUGCUCCUGCUUGUAAAAAAUGAUUUUUAAAAUGUCAGAAAAAUUCUAACAAAAAUUGUAUGCAUUUAUAGUCACAUUCUAAUGCUAUCUACAAAAAAUUUAGGCAAAAAGGCUAAAUAUUUCAGCCUGUGCAAAAAAUAACAAAUUUAAACAUCAAAUAUUACCCCAAAUUUGUUAUUUUCACCGGUAAAAAACUCCUGCUCGUUUUGUAUGAAAAUUCUCAAGCAUGCUUGUCACACAAACAUGGACAUCCACAAAAAAAAUCAGAAUAUUUUGAAAACAUUUUCCGUGAUAGUUCAUCCGGGAGCAUAACACCCCUCCCGUGAAGCAGGGGUUUAUAUUGCGCACCUUAUGUACUUGAGUAAUGGGUUUUUUCAUUUAAAAGAACAGCAAUCCUGUUUUUUCCAUCGUCUGAAAGGAAAAAAUCCCUAAUUUUUGAGGGUUUUCCCCUAAAUCUCCCGUGUGCAUUUUUAUUAUAGGUAGCAUGGCAAACAAAUCUAUUAAAGCCAUGGCAUUUUUUGUCUUCCAAAAACAUGGCAUUUAUACUUUCUCACGUGACAAUUAUAUUAUUAAGACCAUGGCAUUUAAAAUAAUAAUAACAUGCCAUUUUAAUAAUGAGAGGAUGAUAAUUUUAAUAAUAAGAGCAUUACAUUUUUAUUAUUAAUAACAUGACUAUUUUUGUCGGUGCAAUCUACUACCCCUUGAGUGCGUUGGAGAUUUUUGGACAAAACAUGACUUUUUUUUUUCUGUGAAAUGCACAUUUUUGCUUUGGUCUCUUGAAAAUCAAAAAGACGUUUUUCACGUUCUUUUCGUGAGAGGCACGGGUUUGCUUUCGCAAGAGGCACAGUUUUACUUUCGCAAGAGUGGCUAUCGAAAAAAAAGGAACAUGUUUUAUGGGUUUUUUCUGCGAGAUGCACGGUUUUGAUUCCGCAAAAGGCACGGUCAUGCCUCUCGAAAAAAAUGUGUUUUUUUAUUUUUUGCAUGAGAGACAUGGUUUUGACUUCGCAAGAAUAUGAAAAGAAAAUGCGCUUUCUGUUUUUUUUAUAUCGGAGAGGCACGGUAUUUACGUUCGGUUUUUUCGUCUGUUGUUUUAAUGAAAAAAGUUCGUCAAAAUCUAUCAGCAUGGAAUCUACUACCCCGCUCGUUCGUUGGAUCUCGCCUCGAUCAUGAAUCAUUUCUCGAAACUGGUUCGUUGUUUCAGAAACUGGAGCGUUGUUUCAGGAACGGGGGCUGAAGCUGGAGCACUCCAGGUUCCUUGUCGUGGCUCCUCUGCUACCGGGGACGAGCGUGCCGGAGUCCGCCGAACCGCCGCCGCCGUCGGUGCUCGCCAGCUCGCCGGAUCCCCACCUCGCCGACGAGAUCCAGCCCCUCGCCGGAUCCCCACCUCGCGCGGCGAACGGGGAGGUGUGCGGCGCGGAUGCCGCCGAGCUCCCGCCGACGGGGAGCUUCUCUGCCUCGCUGGAGAUGCGUCCCUGCUCGCGCGCCCGACUCUCCGUUGAGCAUGGAUCCCAGCUGCAACAUGACUUUUGUUGCAAAAAUUCCUAAAACUCGACCGUUGUUGCAAAAAAAUCUUUGUAAAAAUACCUAUGUUACAUAAAGACAAAGAAAAAAAAUCUACAACAAGCAAAUUGUUUUUGAAACUCGACCGUUGUUUCAGGAAUUAACGGAUCCAAAGUUUAUUUCUUGCAACAAAGCGAAAGUUUCCGCAACUCGACCGUCAUUUCAGGAAAUAACUACUAACCAUGCGACGGGAUGCGGGGCGUUAGAUCGGCAUCCGACGGCUAUCUAGGUCACGGAUAAUUUUUAAAAUCAUCCGGCGGACGCAUAGUGUUCCCCUAUAAAAAAGGGGAAAAUGUUAGGUUGUAACAAGUGGCACACAUGCAGUGCGCUACUUGUCGUAACCUAAGAAUGUGGGAGUGAUCAUUGAAACGAGUAAUUCUUAAUUAGUUAUUUCGCUCAUCUUCUAAAAUAAAAGGAGCGGCCAUGUCUAGUUGCUCAAAAGAAAAGGAACGAUCGUUUCUAUUUGUUGCGUAGGUCACCAAAUAGCGAUCUGUAAAUUUAUAUAUUAUUUUUAUGAUAUCAAAAACAAGAUUGGCAGUAAAUACCAGUAAAACUCUUUGAACAAAGUCCAACGCUUUUGGAAAUUAGUUGAUUACUUUUAUUUUUAUGAAAAAUCCCAGUAAAAUAUUUUUUUUAAAACUUUAAGAAUCAGGAAGAUUUUUAAAAUUGACGACAAUUUCUUGAAAUUGUGUACAUUUUCUGGAACGCAUGAACAUUUUCUGAAAUUUGGGGUCAAUUCUGAAAAUUUGGAACUUUUAAAUUUUUGAUGAACAUUAUUUGAGUUCACUUAUUCUUCUCAAACACCGAACAUUUUUUGAAUUUUUUGUACAUCUUUGAAAAAUUGCAAACAUUUUUUUAAUAUUGUGAGCAUUAUUCUUGAAAUCGUGAAAAUUGUUUUUAAUACAUGAGUAUUCAUUAUUUCCCGAUCAUCUUGAAAAUUAUGAGCAAUUUUUGAAUUCACGAAUAAUUCAGCGAUUUACAAGUUUUUUCUGAAAUCCCAAAUUAUUUUAAAAAAUGUAAAAACAUGUAAAGUGAAAAAAGCAAAAAACGAAAAACCAAGGGGCUCCCUGCCCCGCACACGGGUUGGUCCACUAGGGUGCGUGUGGGGAAGCGGGGAUGGUGCGCGCUCGGGUGGAUUCCGCCGCGUAUGGCACCAUAUACGAGGUCCCAUAGCAUUGUACAGCAAGAAAAAAAAGACGCGUGGAGUAGGACUGCCAACCUUGGACACGGGCGUGUACAUCUCACACGCGGUGAGACGGUAGGUUCGGUCGACUCAAACGUACCUUAAUUAUUUUUCCCCAGUAGGUAUCUUCUUUUUUUCCCAGUCCGAGGCUUGCGUCUUCCCUUUUUUAUUAUUUGUCCUUAAAUUAUAUUUAAAUUCUGAAAAUGGUAUUUUAUAUAUAUUCUGAAAAUUGCUUUGUUAGUUUUUAAAAAUGGUGACCCUGUAUUACAAAAAUCUUCAUGGAAUAUAUAUGUUUUCUCAUGAUUUUAUAGAAAUGUUUCUACAUUUUAGGAACUUUCAAGUCAUUUAAAAAUGCGUUCACAUAUUUUACAAUAUGUUCAUGAUACUUUAAAAAAUAUAUCCAUACAAUGUUAGAAAAUAAUCCUUUCGUUUCUAAUUAUAAGUCUUUUAAAAUAUUUUACUAUGAACUACAUACUGAUGUAUAUAGACAUAUUUUAAAUUGUAAAUUCAUUUAUUUUAAUCCUUAUAUAAUGUUUAGUAAAAUAUUAAAAAAAAAAUUAAAAAACAGAGAGAAUAUUAGGGAAGGGCGAGUACCGCAGGACCUGAUCUUUGAUGUUCUUUGCGGUAAAUAGGAGGGUGCAGCACAGAAAGCGUCUUGGGUGGCCUGGCCCAUGGGGCGGGCAAACUGUCGUUAGUCGGAAUCGAGUCAUACCCUGCCUACCAUUGCAUAUGGCGAUAUAGAGAACUAAAUUACUAUUGCUAACAUUUUAAAAUUUUAAAAUUUGUUUGAAAUACUAAUGUUCUGAAUGCGAACAUUUUUUAAAAAUAUGCUCAUUUUGAAAAACUGUGACAUUUUUCAUAAUACAUUUAAAAACACCAAUUUUUGAACUUGUGAGCAUUUUAUAAAAUAUGAAUAUUUUAUGAAAAUAUGAAACAUUUUUGUAAAUAAAAAAAUCUGAAAAUGUUUUUUUUGUCUUUUGGACAUUUUUAAAGAACAGAAAUACAUUUUUAUAAUUAUGAACAUUUAAAAAAAGUAAAGGAACAAAAAAGAAACCAGACAGUGUCCUUCUAGAAGGUUCCCAAAGGCAAAUCAUGCGGUAUGUGGAUUUACCUAAAGUUCGACGCAAUGAGUUUCACAUAGGAGUUUCUUAAAGAAAAGAGUGUCAAAUAGGGAAUACCGGAUACUGUUCGCAAUAACUGAUUUACUGGAGGAUUCGCGACCGAAAAUCCAUAGCUGGACAUGAUUACGUCUUAUCCCGGUUGAACAAUAAAAUGAAAUAAAAUAGCGAAAGAAUUCAAAAUAUAUAGUUAUACAUUAAAGAUGAGCAAGUUUUCUAUGGGCGUACAAAGUUUCAUGGCAAUGUGGCAUAGGAGGAGCUGGGACAAAAAUACACAACCAGUGCGCCAAAACAAAAAAUCCUGAACCCUUUUUAAAACUCUUAUUUUUGUCCAUUGCCCCUAUGAAUGAUGUCAUAUUGACAUGGAUUUUUUGAUACACUUGCAAAACUUGUGGAUCUUUCGUACCAAAAAAUUCUUUAUUUUUAUAUUUCUUUUGAUUUUAAUGUUCAUCGCCAGGAGUAGAUUUUUUUCAGAGAUAACUGUACUUUCGUUGAUUUUGUUUUUGAGCGAAUAGAAUUUUGAUUUUACUGUUUAUCACUACUAGGAGUCUAGGAGUAUAUGGACUGAUUGGGUGCUGCGGUUCUGAGCCGUAAACUGCGAUAUUGUGGCCCGUGGGCUUGUGUUUGGACCUCGGGGGACUAUCCCGGUCCAUCCAGAGCCUUCCGAGAGGCCGAGUGGUCUCUGAUUCGGCCCGCUUGGCCGUAUAUAAAAGCGAAAUGGUUCGGCUCAUUUGGCUAGAACCCUAGAACGCUCGACCCUCCGCCGCCGCCGACCCCACGCUUCUCCUGUGCAGCUCCGAGGUAGGCUUUGCCCCAAUCUCAUCCUCUUCGCAGUCAAUUUUGCGGUAGCCAAGCGCCCUCCUGCAACGAUCUUGUCACCUAGUGGAAACCUGUGUAGUUCUGCGAGUAUCUACGUCUCUUUGGUAGGGGAAUUAUUUGUAGGAUUUAGAGAUAUGUGUUCUUGAUUGGUCGUCUUAGAUAUGUGCUGUAUAGUUUUUUGCUUAAUUCCUGCUCUGCUAGGUCUCUAGCUUGCCCUUUCGCAUCAGAUUUCAGGAAUACCCCCAUUAGACCUCGGAUUUCCCCAUUUACAAACACGCCCGGUCAUUUGGAUCUAUUCGUGCGUGGAUUAUUGCGUAUCAUAAGAUCGAAAUUUGAAUAUCUCUAGUGAAGAAACCUCGGGCUUCCAAGUCUCGGAUCUAAGAUGCACCGUUGAGUCAUGUUGAUUAGUUUCCUUUCACGCAUAAAUGCAUAAUUGAAAUUUUUAUGUGCAUAAUCCCCUAUACUUGAACCCUCCAAUGUUUAUCUAUCUGAAAUUUCUUAGUUAGGGAUAAUUGCUAUUUGUUGAUUUUAUAUCGAAGCCUCUUUCUGUUUUCAGGUAAUUCGUAGUUUACACGAUGAAGAUGAUCGCUGCCUACCUGCUCGCCUACCUGGGUGGGAACUCUUCCCCGACUGCCGGUGACAUCAAGAACAUCCUGGAAUCAGGUAAUUCUACUUUGUUGGGUGCAAGUUGUAGUUGUUCAGAUGCUUUUACUUAGACAGUGCUUCCAGCUUUUCUUAUGGUUUGGUAUAUUUGGCAUGGUCUACUUUUGUUGCUGAACACAAAUCCAAUAAUUUUUUCAGUGGGGUCCAUUGAAUUUUAAUUCAUUAUAAGUUUAAAUUGUACAAUAACCUACUGCUAGUUGUGAUUAAGUUUACAUCUCAAAACAUCUGGUACUUUGAUAGAAUGUGAGAGCAAAAAAGGCUUAUUACCUGGGGAAUUUUUAUGAAAAUAUUUUAUACCAUCUGUGUAUCAUUUCACUAAAUAAUGACUUCUGUUCUCUUGUACAGUUGGGGCUGAGGCUGAUGAAGAAAAACUUAAGUUCCUUCUUGCUGAACUCAAGGGUAAGGACAUCACAGAAGUGAUUGCAGCUGGAAGGGAGAAGUUUGCCGCUGUGCCUUCAGGUGGGGGUGCCAUUGCUGUGGGAGCUCCAGCUGCUGCAGCUGGUGGUGCCGCAGCACCUGCUGCUGAGUCAAAGAAGGAGGAGAAGGUUGAAGAGAAGGAAGAAUCUGAUGACGUAAGUGUUUCUCUAGCUUGCAAUGGUUUCCAGUUACUUUAGUGCUGCCCAUAUGUUAUUCUAGCUCGAUUUUGCUUAUAUGAAGCAACUCACAAACAUAAACUCAAUUCAUUGUUUAAGUGUUAUUGCAAGUAGCUAUUUUAGAGUUUGGCAUGCAAUUGCCCUUACGAAUGCAAUUCUUUCACUGUCUAGUCACAGUAUGUGCAGUUGUGUGUGAAUUACUGUCACCUUGCUUACGAUCUUUUAUUCUUUCUGCAGG